rnacentral:rRNA from 1 species
UACGUAGGGUGCGAGCGUUGUCCGGAAUUAUUGGGCGUAAAGAGCUUGUAGGCGGUUUGUCGCGUCUGCCGUGAAAAUCCGGGGCUCAACCCCGGACUUGCGGUGGGUACGGGCAGACUAGAGUGUGGUAGGGGAGACUGGAAUUCCUGGUGUAGCGGUGAAAUGCGCAGAUAUCAGGAGGAACACCGAUGGCGAAGGCAGGUCUCUGGGCCAUUACUGACACUGAGAAGCGAAAGCAUGGGGAGCGAACAGG